rfam:Crassostrea gigas strain 05x7-T-G4-1.051#20 contig21799, whole genome shotgun sequence.
GUUGGUUAUGGAGACAUGUACCCGACAUCCUUUGGAGGUAAACUGGUGGGCAUUGCGUGCGCAGCAUCCGGUAUACUGAUUAUAGCAAUGCCGAUAGCAGUUGUAGCCGCUAAU